rnacentral:lncRNA from 1 species
GACCAUUGUGGGUUGAAUUGCAUUUCCCCAAAAUAUAUGUUGAAUUUCCAACUACUAGGGCCACAGAAUGUGACAAUAUUUGGAAAUGGGGCCAUUCUAGACCUAAGUGGUUAAGAUCAGGUCAUCCUGGAGUAGUGUGGGCUUUUCAUUCAAUAUGACUAUUGUCCUUAUAAAAAGACAAUAUAAAAACUGACACAUGAGGAGAGAACACCAUAUAAUGACGGAGGCAAAAAUUACUGUGUGCAGCUGCAUGUCAAGAAAUUCCAAAGAUUGCCAGCAAAUCACCAGGAGCUAGAGGAAGCAAGAAAGGAUUCACUCCCAUGGGUUUCAGAAGGAGAAGAGCCCUUACUGUUUGAUGUAGAAGCUGAUUUUUUGGAGUAAAGUCCUUUUCCUACGUAUCUCUCCCUCUACUUAAAGACUUAGUGUGAAUGUCAAUUACUCAAGCCUGAAUUAAAAGAGUUGACACAGGACAGGAAAACUCCAGUCAUCCUCAAGGGAAAAGAGGUCCUGAAAAGAGGAAACAAGGAGAGACCUCACGGAGUCAAAACAGGUGUUCACAGGCAUUGAAUACGGAAAAUGACUCAAGCUGCUUAGGAUGAGACGCAUGGUCAGAAUGGUUCAGCACAAGGGAUAUAUAACACCCUGAGGAUUAAAACAAAGGUAGUGUCUAGAAUGUUGCUGAAUAUGACAAAGAACUUUUAGAUUAGAACUCCAGGAAUGAAGAAGAUGAAGAAAAACAGACCUCAUGAUUAUCAGCUAAGGCCACUCCUAGCUCAAUCAUGUGUAGUCAGUGACUAUACAUACCAUCAGU